AUCUAGCUUGCUAGAUUGAUGGCGAGUGGCGGACGGGUGAGUAACGCGUAGGAAUAUGCCUUAAAGUUGGGGAUACCAUGGGGAAACUCAUGCUAAUACCGAAUGCACUCUUAGGAGGAAAGCUGGGGACCUUUGGGCCUGGUGCUUUAAGAUUAGCCUGCGUCCGAUUAGCUAGUUGGUAGGGUAAGGGCCUACCAAGGCGACGAUCGGUAGCUGGUCUGAGAGGAUGGCCAGCCACACUGGGACUGAGACACGGCCCAGACUCCUACGGGAGGCAGCAGUGGGGAAUAUUGGACAAUGGGGGCAACCCUGAUCCAGCAAUGCCGCGUGUGUGAAGAAGGCCUGAGGGUUGUAAAGCACUUUUCAGUGGGGAGGAAGGGUGAUAGGUUAAGAGCUAAUUAUGAGGACGUUACCCACAGAAGAAGCACCGGCUAACUCCGUGCCAGCAGCCGCGGUAAUACGGAGGGUGCGAGCGUUAAUCGGAAUUACUGGGCGUAAAGGGUGCGUAGGUGGUUUGGUAAGUUAUCUGUGAAAUCCCCGGGCUUAACCUGGGCAGGUCAGAUAAAACUGCGAGACUCGAGUAUAGGAGAGGGUAGUGGAAUUUCCGGUGUAGCGGUGAAAUGCGUAGAGAUCGGAAGGAACACCAGUGGCGAAGGCGGCUACCUGGCCUAAUACUGACACUGAGGUACGAAAGCGUGGGGAGCAAACAGGAUUAGAUACCCUGGUAGUCCACGCUGUAAACGAUGUCAACUAGCUGUUGGCCUUAUGAAAGAGGUUAGUGGCGCAGCAAACGCGAU
rnacentral:rRNA from 1 species